GGCUCGAGAGGCAGGGAAGCGGCCCAGGGCCCCGCCCGCCCGCAUGACUCCCGAGCUGGCCGCGAGGGUGGGGAGAGACCAACAGCCCUCACCGAGGGAGGCCGCGGCCGCCAGGGGGAGGUGGCUGCGUGGGGGCAGUAACGGGAGAGGGGGCCCGAGUUCUGAAAGCCCCGGGCUGUAAAACGUUUGGGUCCAGAAUGAAACUCUGAUCCACAGAAGCUUUCCUUGCCCUGCGCUCUAACCUCUGCUGGUGUCUGGAAGCGGGUAGACUGGAGGAUUCUAAAGAGUUUGAGGUUGUGUAACUAUCCAGAAACACACGAUAGAGUCCUCUUUCAGCAAGUAUUCUUGGUUAAGUCAUGAAAAUGGAGCUUGUUUUCCCCCUUUGUAUGAUAAUAUAAUCGGAACUUCUCUGUUUACCUGAAAAUCACAUCAUAGACAAGUUAAAAAUGUGGAAAGCGCUAUUCAAGGACUGUGGGAACAGAGACACGACACUUUCACCAAAACUCCAGGCUCCUGUAAAGUUGAUCUGGUGAAAGGAAGUGAGAUUUUUGUCUCUGACCCCAGGAGUUAUCAGCUCAUGUUUACAAGCUAAGGGACUGGUCUCCUUCAAUGUUGAUCCUGAACAUCUUUAACUGCUUAUAUCACUCACAUGUGAUGCAGUUAACUACUUGUUCAUAAAGAGGUGUGAUACACAUGUUUCACAAUUAGCAGCUCUGUACUAAACAAAGCCAGACAGAGGCCCAUUAAAGCUGUCUGCUGCCUCCUCUCACAGACGCUGAGCUAGACCAGUGAACAGUCACCUUGGUAAGAGAGACUGUGACAAGAAGAUGAAUGUAGCAACAAUUGCGGAGCUCCCAAAAAUCACGUUUUCAACAAACCUGACCCACCAACAGAAAACCUAAUGAAGGAAUCCCCACAGAAAGGAUUUUAUGCAAACCUGCACAAAUACAUUUAACAUGCUCUAGGCAAAGAAUACCUCUUUGUCUAUUUCCAACACAUGGCCUAUAUCUACUGUUGCCCAGUCACAAAAGGAACUCUAAUGCAAAAAAAUUUCCACCUUCAGAGAACUGACAACUAAAAGCACACUCUAUGUAAGGCUUCUAUCUUUAAAUGGGUAACAAAGGAAAUGCCAAGACUGGGUCCACUAGAAACCGCAUCAAGGUCAACAGCGAUAACCAGACUACAAACUCAAGACUGGGAGUUAAUUUACACUUGUAGCUUUCAGGUAAAGAACAUUUCCUGUAGUUGAUUCCCACAGCCAAGACCAACUUGGAUUUCUCUAGAAAAUAGGAACUUCAAAGACCAUAAAAGCAGGUAUGAUUCACAGCUGAGAUCAAUUCCCAGUUAGUCAAAACUCCAUACAGCUGGGCUCCUGAGGCUAAAGGGUUUUCUCAAUACCCAACUAAAAGUGAUUCGGGCGAAGCCUGCCUGGGGUACUGGGUAAAGGGGUUCGUGAUGCAAGGUUAUUCCGUGUGGAUAUCAAAGACAACAGAAAUGAGGAGAGGGCCCGGUACAGAAUGCUGAACAGCGUCAGGCCCCAGAGGAGUCUGACAUCUGGGAGAAGCACCUACUCCGGCGGAAGUACUAGAGAUCCAGAAUACAAGUUUCAGGAGAAACAAAGGGUCUUCGGAGGGUCAGGUCAUUUAGUUUCCCAUUAAUGAAGAGCCCCGAACAGGGUCUGUCUUAACCUUUCUGCCACCAUUCGCUGGAAAUGCACACACCCUCCUGCUUGCUCCGUCAAGACUGACCCCACUGCCUGGAGGGGGGAGCCAUAGCCGUGGUCGUUCCGGAAAGCCAGCGUGCAAGACAAUUUGGAUAAAGUCGUCCUUAAGCCAAUGCUUAAAUCCAAUGCCCACGGGCCGUACUUAGUUCUCUAGUCUAAAAGCAUUUCUUCAAAAGCCAGGAUACCCACCUUCACUACAUCUCCAGCCACCUGAUCUGUAAAGUACCGCAAAGUUGUUGGCUGUUCCCCUGUUAACUCCGGGAAUCCGCUCUGGCAACUGUUUUUCAUUAUCUUUCUACCAAACUCCUUAAAACAGGUGCAUGUCUUCAAACACUGGUAGUGCUUGUCCAUGAAAUUUCUGCCUAACACCUGGAACUUGCCAUCCAGGAUGACAUCCUUUAAACAGCCAAGUACAACACCCUAUUCUGCAUCCAAGGAGGAGGAGAUGGGUGGUCCGCACAAACCAAGCCUGACUCAAGCUUGUCGCAGCCUUAGCUGCAUCCUUGGAUCGGAUCGCCGGAAGUGGCGUCUGCGCCUGCACCGAGGCGGGGCCUCGACUAGUUCGGCGGUGGCCACGUGCCUGCCAGGUUCUGCAGGUCGGUUACCGACAGAUGAGGAGCAGGUUUAUUAAAUAAUAGGGAAAGACCCUCACUAAAGGAGUUUUAUGUAAGUAUUUCAGAAUACUUAAUAUAAAUAUCUGAGAAGAUUCUCUAAAACGAAUGGCAGUAGAAAUGUUGGAUGCUAGUGACUGGAUUGAAAAUGGUGUUAUCUUGAAGGAAUAUUUAUUUUGCAGUUUGAAAGUUCUGUGAUCCCAGAAUAUACUUUUGGGGAAAAAAAAAAAACCCCAAUUCUCAAAACUCAGUAGUUUAAAAAAUCCAGUUAUAAAGUUAGCCAAAGAGAUGAACAGAUAUUUCCGCAAAAGAGAUAUAAUGGCACAUGAGAGGAGAUUCAGUAUCAUUCAGCUAGGUUCAGUCGCUCAGUCCUGACAGACUCUUUGCGACCCCAUGGACUGCAGCACGCCAGCUUCCCUGUCCAUCACCAACUCCUGGAGCUUGCUCAAACUCAUGUCCAUCGAGUCGGUGAUGCCACCCA